GACGAACGCUGGCGGCGUGCUUAACACAUGCAAGUCGAGCGAUGAAGUUCCUUCGGGAAUGGAUUAGCGGCGGACGGGUGAGUAACACGUGGGUAACCUGCCUCAUAGAGGGGAAUAGCCUUUCGAAAGGAAGAUUAAUACCGCAUAAGAUUGUAGUAUCGCAUGAUACAGCAAUUAAAGGAGUAAUCCGCUAUGAGAUGGACCCGCGUCGCAUUAGCUAGUUGGUGAGGUAACGGCUCACCAAGGCGACGAUGCGUAGCCGACCUGAGAGGGUGGGCGGCCACAUUGGGACUGAGACACGGCCCAGACUCCUACGGGAGGCAGCAGUGGGGAAUAUUGCACAAUGGGGGAAACCCUGAUGCAGCAACGCCGCGUGAGUGAUGACGGUCUUCGGAUUGUAAAACUCUGUCUUCAGGGACGAUAAUGACGGUACCUGAGGAGGAAGCCACGGCUAACUACGUGCCAGCAGCCGCGGUAA
rnacentral:rRNA from 1 species